rnacentral:rRNA from 1 species
AUUGAACGCUGGCGGCAGGCCUAACACAUGCAAGUCGGGCGAGCGGCGGACGGGUGAGUAAUGUAUGGGGAUCUGCCUGAUGGAGGGGGAUAACUACUGGAAACGGUAGCUAAUACCGCAUACCAUCAGAUGAACCCAUAUGGGAUUAGUUUGUAGGUGAGGUAACGGCUCACCUAGGCGACGAUCCCUAGCUGGUCUGAGAGGAUGAUCAGCCAAACGGGACUGGGAACAGGGCCCGAACUCCUACGGAGGGAAGCAGUGGGGAAUAUGGCAAAUGGGGGGCAAGCCGGAGACGGCCAGGCGGCUUGUAGGAAGAGGGCUUUCGGGUUGUAAAGUACUUUCAGUCGGGAGGCGUUACCGACAGAAGAGGCACCGCCUAACUCCGUGCCAGAAGCCGCGUUAAUAC